GUUUCCAUGAAUGUAAUAACACCCCCAACGCUCCAUAACGGACCCUACAAAAUUCAGUAUAUUUUCAAGAUCUUCUGUGGCGAAUGUGACUCUUGGGGGUGGCGCACCAUUUUUAAUGGCCAGCCACCAUAAGGUCCUGAACACCCUGACGGAAUACGGAAGCAUCAUUAUAUCAUCAAGUGAAGGUGAUCCUUGGCUCUCGGUAAUAUUCCUGACGAAUAAAAAAUCUCUCGUUGGAGAUUCUGGGACUGAAAACGAAUCAAUUUACCUUCUCAUCAAAAAAAUUAUCUACCACUUCGAUUAGAUGGAGAAGUUCCUUUGCACGAAAGGAAAUUUUAGGGAAAAAUUAGACCUCCAGGGGGGUGGAAUGAGGGAGGAAGGUUAGGUUUAUCAUAAAAUUAGUCUCCCAAGUCUAAUUUUUCGCACAAAACUAUCACCCAAAAAGUGGUUGACUGUCAUUUCGUCGCAGAUUUCAUCCUCUAGAGGUUUAAUUUUUAUCCAAAAUUUCUUUUCGUGUGGGGUAACGGUCGCAGGACAUCUGUCAGAUAUAAAAAUUAAAAAAGGAGAAAAUACUUCUACUAUCAACUGCAUUUUGCGAAGAACAGGAGGCGCCUGGAUAUUAGAGGUUAGAAUUUUCCAAAGUCUCCUUCGUUCUCUUGUAUUUUGGGUCCUUAAUCUCUAUUAUAAGACAGAUAUAAAGGUGUUGUAUCGGCUAAGCGAGGUCGGUAUCCCAAAGGGUCUUGUCAGUGUUUGGUUGAUGAUAUUUUUGUUAUUAUCAACUGAAAUGGUAGAUAUUUUCGACGGACAGAAAAAUUGCCGAGAGCUGGAGUCGAACCAGGUUACGCUUCGAGCGAAUUGUUUUUUAAGACAGACGUCCUACCACCUCAGCCAAGAAUUACUCUACACUGAUUGACGGAAUGACGACGACUGCGGUAGCCGUCCAACGAGGCUCCCUAAUUCCAACGAUUUGUACCGAUCCUUCCCGAUCUCGGCACGAUCAAUCCCGGUUUCGAACUGUGUACAAUAGUUGUCUUUUUGCCUUCGAAUGCAAGCACUACACAAAGACGUUGUUGUACCUCAGGAACUACUCUACCGAUCGGGGUGUACCUGGGUGACAUAACAGAGCUUCAUCGUAGCUUGAAUUCAAAAUUUUUCCGAUUGAAUUUCACCGCAUUUAUGUUAAAUUUUCUCACAAUUUAUGAAUAAAAACUCAAGUUAUUGGACUCGUAUUGAAAUGACCUUGAAUUGAAAUUUACCAUACACUUCAUAACAUUCUAAACAUCUUGAGAUAAAAAUUAGAGGACCGAAAAGUCCUUGAAAUGCAAUACUUCCAGCAGGAAGACAAAAAUAAAUAAAUUCAGUGGCCAUAUUUGUUACGAGCGAAUUUAUUUCCUCAUUCCUUAAGGAUUUUAUCAAUAAACAAACUACGAAUUUCAGCAUUAUAUAAAUUUAUUGACCACAAUUAUAUAAACUAUUUCCUCCUUGACAUUCCUCCUCAAACCCCUAUUGCAAAUGGUUAUUUGAUUUCGUAAACGUCCUGACUAUUAACAUUUGAUUCAACUUCAACUUGACGAUUCCAUCAUAUACACUGUUAUAUUACAAAAAUAAUUUCAAAUCUCAAAUAAAAAUUUCACGUUAAAACAUCGUCAAUAACCCUUAAUUCUAACGAUUCAUGAUUAAAACAACACGUUCUACGUCUCGUCAUAUCAUCAUCCUAAGCCUAGUGGAACCGAUUUAUAAUUAAAAUCACAAUUAAUCAUGCAGAGCAGUAACAAUAAUACAGUAGGUCAAACCUGAUAAAUGCAAUUCGAUAGAUUUUCGGGAGAGAAUGCGUCUCUCCUUUCACUUUUCCUUCGUUAUUUUUCAGUAACAAUUUGGAAAAAUCCAACAGACUGAGUCUUAAAACUAACAAAACGAAAAUAAAAAUAAAAAAAUGUGAUCUAUUCAUUGAGUGAUGAGAGGAAACGAGCUAUUCAUUCAGUUUUUUUGCAAAUAUCUUUAGAGGGGAAGAAUUUAGAAAAAAAUAGCCCAAUUGUUUUGCGCAGAACUACCUACUUUUGCAAAUAAUGUCAAAUAAUGUCAAAUAAAUUCAAAACUUGAGGAAACAUUAACAAAAUAGUCCCACUAAUUCUAUAAUUUGUUUUUUGUUCUUUCCUUUAUGUGAUAAUAAUUGUUCGCUUAAAUCGGCAAUAAUUGGUGAUGUGAAAAAUGUCACGAGACAUCUUUUGCAGAGAAUUUCAUAUCCUUCAAAAACCAUUCAGG